rfam:Ixodes scapularis strain Wikel colony gcontig_1108378901642, whole genome shotgun sequence.
GGUCUCAUGGUGCAAUGAUUAGCACUCUCGAAUUUGAAUCCAGUGAUCCGAGUUCAAAUCUCGGUGAUAACU